UGGCGGCGAUAGCGCGGUGGUCCCACCUGACCCCUUGCCGAACUCAGAAGUGAAACGCCGUAGCGCCGAUGGUAGUGUGGGGCUUCCCCAUGUGAGAGUAGGGAACUGCCAGGUU
rnacentral:rRNA from 1 species